rnacentral:rRNA from 1 species
GACGAACGCUGGCGGCGUGCCUAAUACAUGCAAGUCGAGCGGACGAAUCGAAAGCUUGCUUUUGAUUCGUUAGCGGCGGACGGGUGAGUAACACGUGGGCAACCUGCCCUGUAGACGGGGAUAACACCGAGGAAUCGGUGCUAAUACCGGAUAACACGAAAUGUCGCAUGACGUUUCGUUGAAAGACGGCGCAAGCUGUCGCUACAGGAUGGGCCCGCGGCGCAUUAGCUAGUUGGUGAGGUAACGGCUCACCAAGGCGACGAUGCGUAGCCGACCUGAGAGGGUGAUCGGCCACACUGGGACUGAGACACGGCCCAGACUCCUACGGGAGGCAGCAGUAAGGAAUCUUCCGCAAUGGACGAAAGUCUGACGGAGCAACGCCGCGUGAGCGAAGAAGGCCUUCGGGUCGUAAAGCUCUGUUGUUAGGGAAGAACAAGUAACGCAGUGACUGGCGUUACCGUGACGGUACCUAACGAGAAAGCCACGGCUAACUACGUG